GCGCGGCGAGCUAGGGGAAAAGUAAAGCUUGUGCAUUGGGUCUUCCGUUGACGCUCUCUAUAGGUACCGCUAAACCUCGAGGGGGAGGGGGAGCGGCGAGCAACCAACCACCACUGAGCAGCCGCGAGAGGGAGGAUGACGGAGCGAGGGAGGCGGAGCAGCAACAAAGAGGUCGGCUUCUGGACGUCGUAGAGAGGCGGGGCGUAGGUGGAACCGUGGUAAUAAAGCGGCGAGCAGCCAAAACAAGCUAAGCUCAGCGGACUUCGACUAAUGGCUCCUCUACCACGUCGUGUGUUGUCAGUUAAACUACCAAAUGUCUCUCCACAUGGAACUCACACCACACCAUCCGACUGACCACAUGGGUGCGCUGUCCCACACACACACGAGACAUAAAAAAUCGUACCGUACGGCACACACUCUACAUACGCACUCAGAUCAGACUUGGAAAGGGGGACAAGAGACAUGGAUAGGGUUGAAAGGAGAGGUAGGAGAGUACAUGAGAUAGAGAGUGUGUGGGUUUAAGGAGGACAUUAAACACUCUAGAUAGUUAGAUACUCUACCCGUAACACCAAUUAACAAACUUAAGCCGACCAACAAACUAAAACACACGCC
rnacentral:rRNA from 1 species